UAUCACUCUGAUUUUGCGUAUGUCCUGUUGACACGUCACAGCAUGACAACACACACUGAGGCAAGUUGUUUGUUUAGCCAGGGCCUUUCGAACCAUCCCUAUCUGUAUGUUUCCCUUCGUAAACCCCGUUGAGCCUUAGCCGUUUUAUUCAUCGUAAACCCCAUGUUAACUUUUAAGCAUUAUUUAUCAUAAACCCCCUGUUAAGUUUUAAUCAUUCAUUUUGUUUCAUAACUCGGUAUGAUUGUGUGAAUGGCAAGAUGUGCAAUAAAACUAAGUUUGGGGUGGAAAUCUUGAAAGAGAAGGCAACUGCAUAAUAAGAGAUCAUACAAAAAGAAAAAUAGUAUGUAUUUUCUUUAAAAGAAAAAAGAAAAAAAAAGAAAAGAAAAACAAAAGAGAAAAAUGCACUUGCCGAGACUUAAGACUCUAAUACAUAUGAAAUGCUCGGAAAAUUCGAGUAGAAAAAGAGUCAAAAGAGUGAAAUUAACCCCCAGAGUAUACGUGAUGCACGAGAAAAAAGAGAAAGAAAAAUCACACAACAUGACUACCGAGUUCAAAACCCUUUGUUAUCCAAUUUUUUU
rnacentral:lncRNA from 1 species